GCACUCCCGGGGCGUCUCUUUCUCAUCACGAGAGGAGGCGCACCCAGAGCGCACACGCUGAUACCCGAAAGAUGGUGAACUAUGCCUGGCCAGGACGAAGCCAGGGGAAACCCUGGUGGAGGUCCGCAGCGAUUCUGACGUGCAAAUCGAUCGUCGGAGCUGGGUAUAGGGGCGAAAGACCAAUCGAACCAUCUAGUAGCUGGUUCCCUCCGAAGUUUCCCUCAGGAUAGCUUGCGCUCACGAGAAACGAGUCUCAUCCGGUAGAGCGAAUGAUUAGAGGCCUUGGGGUCGAAACGACCUCAACCUAUUCUCAAACUCCAAAUAGAUGAGAACUCCGGCUUUCUUGAAACUUUGUUGAUUGAAGCCGGGGGCUCGGAUCAGAGUGCCAAGUGGGCCAAUUUUGGUAAGCAGAACUGGCGCUGUGGGAUGAACCAAACGUCGAGUUAAGGCGCCCAAAUCAACGCUCAUGUGAAACCAUGAAAGGCGUUGGUUGCUUAAGACAGCAG
rnacentral:rRNA from 1 species